GAGCGGGUGGCGAUGGCGGCCGGGCCGGGCCGGGCCGGGGUGGACAAAGGGGCGGCCGCUCCCAGGGCCCCAGCACGACUCUGGGAAGAGCAAGGUAUCACAACUUCAAUUUUCACUUCAACUGCAGGAAUAACCCAAAUCCUUUGUUAAAAUGAAGCCAAAGGUUUUGCUGCUGUUCACUGUUCUAUCACUCCUUCCUUCCCUGAACUUGGAAACAGACAUCAAAACAGAUGCUCUGCCAGCAAAUGCUACAGUCCAAAACCAUGAGGUAGGACUUAUCAAGCAAGGCUGGGGACAAGCUCAGAGCCAAGCUCAGGUAACACAGCCAAUGGCACUCCCUCCAGCACCCUCCAGCAGUGUGAAGCAGUGUGCAGGGAGCACAUCCCCUGAUAAAUGCAUCCUCCAUGCAAGGGGUGAAGCCCACCCCAAGACACCCCAUGUGCUGGGAAGCGACUGCCCUGCCAUCAAACACUGAGCCCAGCAGAAGAAGAAUCAAAAUUUAUAGGUUUUGAAGCCACUCUCCCAAUAUCCAGGGCAAAGACAGAGCUGCUGCAGCUCACACAGAGCUGCCACAUAAUGGUUCCUAACACCCAUUAUCCUGAUCUGGCUGCACUGUGGGAGCAGGUGCUGGGAUACCAUGGAGGCUGCCAGCUGGGCAGCUCACCCCAAUGCAUCACACAGCCGAGACAAACCCGAGGAGAGUUUGAGAGCUGGGCCUUCAGAAGAGGAUCUGGCAUCACGGGACUGCAGCACUGGAGAUAACAGCAGAUUACUUCACUGUUUGGACAUAAGCUCUUAAUUAAACACUGAAAUAUCUGGACAGGGAUGGGCGCUGCAGCAGCAGCCAGACCUCACAGCUGGCCAGCAGUACAGUCAGCACAGCUACUUAGGGACUCCAUUCCCCAGAGCUCUUGUAUCACUCAUCUGCCCAUCAAAAGGUGUUAUGUGCACAGUGCCAAGGUUAUCUUGAGGGUUCUCAGGGUCUCUCUUGUAAUGAAGGAGGUGGAGCGGAUAAAGAUCUCAUGUACACCUUGAAAAAGUGCCUGAAUCAAUUCUGUUCAUUUCAGGCUGCAUCCAAAAUAUUCCCUUCAUGUGGAAAGAGCACUGAUGGAGCAAAUAGCUCUAUUCUGUCCCUGCUUCUUAUUCAGACGACGAAUAGUAAAGUCCAGUACUCAGCUCAAAAACUGUACAAUUCCCAUAUGAAGCAUCAGUGAAGCCCUUUGCUAGAACAAUCAGUAUCCUCAAAUGCCUCUGUUUACCUCCUUGCAUUUGCAGGUUUUAUAAGCCUGGGAUGAAGCCCUGCAGCCAGUGGUGAGCUACCCAAGGGCUGCAGAAGGCUUGUGCAAAGCCUUUGAAGAUGCUAAUCCAAACCAGAGCUGAGGGAUGGAGGUGCAUUGCAGGGUGGCAUUUUCAGGCAUUUGGCUCUGCUAUGCAAAUACAGAUCUCUCUCUUAGCUGCAAAAAUCUGCAGCUAAGGAAAACUGAGCAUUGGUGUUCCAACACUGGUCCAAGAUUAAACAGUUUUGCUGAUAGGAUACAAAAUUAAGAGGAGCUCAUAGCAGAGUUUGUCACAAGUUUAGCCAACAAAGGCAUUUAUUCCUGGAUGUUUUUUUGCUCCUCAAACAUUUUAAGGAAACACAUAAACAGGUCUCUCACAGAGAAAACUUACAGGUCAGAGUGUCCAGUGCCAUAUUACCUUAGUAGUGACCCAUAACAUAAUCACAGUACAGGUCAAGGACAGAAAGCCACCUUUAUUUUCUCAUUGUGCCUUGCUUAAAGGCAGGGACCUCACUCCAUGGAUGCUCAGUGAGGCACAACUUCUAUUGCCCUUCUGACCCCUUUAGUCCUUCAACCUGAAAUCCCUCCUGUCUCAGACAGUGAAGGCGAACUGCCAAGAAAGGGUCCCCAAAAGACAUCUUUCCACCCACAAAGGCUACACGGGGAUGCUGACCAGUCUGAUAGAUCAUCACUAUUCUCUGAUUCCCCUUGCCCUAGGACACAAGCAAGUAACAAGGACCAGGUCACCCUAAGCUCCCUCUGAGGUGGCCAAAACAAGCUGCAGGAUGGGAGCUGGGAGCACUCCUCCAUGGCAGCUUCAGGAACACUGACAGGACCAACCUUCGCACCCUGGUGUCCU